CACAAGCGGAGGAACAUGUGGUUAAUUCGAUGAUACGCGAGGAACUUACCUGGGCUUAAAUGUAGAGUGCAUUUUUAGAGAUAGAAAUUCCCUUCGGGGCUUUCUGCAAGGUGCUGCAUGGUUGUCGUCAGCUCGUGCCGUGAGGUGUCGGGUUAAGUCCCAUAACGAGCGCAACCCUUAUCGUUAGUUGCCAUCUGGUAAUGCAGGGGACUCUAGCGAAACUGCCACCGUAAGGUGAGAGGAAGGUGGGAUGACGUCAAAUCAGCACGGCCCUUAUGUCCAGGGCUACACACGUGUUACAAUGGUCGGUACAGAGGGCAGCUACCUGGUGACAGGAUGCUAAUCUCGAAAACCGGUCUCAGUUCGGAUCGAAGUCUGCAACUCGACUUCGUGAAGCUGGAUUCGCUAGUAAUCGCGCAUCAGCUAUGGCGCGGUGAAUACGUUCCCGGGCCUU
rnacentral:rRNA from 1 species